AACGCGAAGAACCUUACCCAGGUUUGACAUCCUUGGAAUUUCUCCGAAAGGAGAGAGUGCUUUUAGAGCCAAGUGACAGGUGUUGCAUGGCCGUCGUCAGCUCGUGUCGUGAGAUGUUUGGUUAAGUCCAUUAACGAGCGCAACCCUUAUAGUUAGUUGAAUUUUUCUAGCUAGACUGCCCUGGUAACAGGGAGGAAGGAGGGGAUGAUGUCAGGUCAGUAUUACCCUUACAUCUGGGGCUACAAACACGCUACAAUGGCCAGUACAAAGGGCAGCCAAGUCGCGAGACGGAGCAAAAUCCCAUCAAAGCUGGUCUCAGUUCGGAUAGCAGGCUGAAACUCGCCUGCUUGAAGCUGGAAUCGCUAGUAACGGUAGGUCAGCUAUACUACCGUGAAUACGUUCCCGGGCCUUGUACACACCGACAUAC
rnacentral:rRNA from 1 species